AUGCUUCAUACCGGGUUUUCCACUCCCAAUUGUGUCUUCCAUGAAGAUUUUGCUUGUGAGUUCAUCUAUCAUUUGUUGUGCGGAUUCCUUGCUGAGCAGGGUACACUUUCUCAGUUCUCAUGUUGUGGCCCUGAUGCUCAGAAUGGUUUGUUGAGUGUAAGCAUCGUCAACUUCUUGAGGCGGCUUAUGCAUCGAAGAUCAACACCUCUCUAUCACCUCACUUUUGGGUUGAAGUUGUUUCUACUUCCACCUACCCCGUCAAAGUCAGCCUUCCUUGCUUUGCAAGGUGACAUUCCUAUCGAGUGUUUGUUUGUCGUUCUCAUGGCUACUGAGCGCUUCAUUUGUUUUGUUGUGUUUACUACGUUCUUCUCCCCCCCCCCUGAACGCGCCAAACUGACUGCUUAG
rnacentral:rRNA from 1 species